GAGUCCCAGGCCUCCCCGGGCCUACGGAAGCACCGAGCGCCCGCGGCGAAGCCGGCCUGGGAAGUGCCCUCGGAGCUCGGCCUGCGCACACACACCCGACGCCCGGGACCGAAAAGGAGACCCGGAGGAGCGGCCGCGUCCCCCGGGCCUGCGCCAAGGCUUCGGCGGGGCGCGCUGCGGGGCCGGGAGGCCAUUUUGAGAGCGAACGAGCGGCGGCAAGAUGGCUGCGUGGGCACGAGGAUGUGUUCCAGGGUGGGCCAGAAGAAGAGAAAAGAGAAAAGACAGCUUGAUGGUGACUAACCUUCUCUCCUCAGACAUGGUGAGAUGUACUCUGAUCUAGAGCAGGCAGCUGGCCAGAGACCCACAGGGAGCUCAGUGAUUGGCCUCAGAUGACCUUGAGGACAAAGAUUGUCCCUUGAAGGGAAGUGAUGGCACAGGCUCUGAUCAGCUCUUCUGGGAACAGACAGAGAAGUGGGAAUUC
rnacentral:lncRNA from 1 species